UGGUUAUCGCCAGUGCUCAACAUAGAAAUGUUGGAUGCCAUUGUAGAAGCAGCUGGGUGGUCUUUUUACGAUGAAUGAUUCCUGCUCGAGUGACAACUCCUUAAAAGCUUGUGUAGGAGAUUUGUUGGACUGGUAAACCUGGUUAUCGCCAGUGCUCAACAUAGAAAUGUUGGAUGCCAUUGUAGAAACAGCUGGAUGGUAAUGCUUUGACAAAAGGUUCAGAUCCCAAAGCACUGAAGCAAGUGCACCACUAAGGUUCGGGUCAGUUGCAUAAGGCUGAUAUUUCUGCAACAGAAUAGAAGUGCCAUCAGCAUUUCUAGUGGUUCAACUAUCUACUGAAUAUAAAGCAGCUGGGUGGUAAUGCUUUGACAAAAGGUUCAGAUCCCAAAGCACUGAAGCAAGUGCACCACUAAGGUUUGGGUCAGUCGCAUAAGGCUGAUAUUUCUGCAACAGAAAAGAAUUGCCAUCAGCAUUUUCUAGUGGUUCAACUAUCUACUGAAUAUGAAUGGUACAAGUGGAAGCUUUUCUCUUUUUCAUGUUGAGUAAUUUCAGUACGAAGCAUAUUUUUUGUGCCAUGAGUGGCACAAGAAGCAAAU
rnacentral:lncRNA from 1 species